rnacentral:tRNA from 1 species
GACCCCUUAGCUCAGUGGUAGAGUGUGUGAUUCCAGAAAUGGGCUUCCACAAAGUCAUCCGUUCAAGUCGGGUAGGGGUCA